CUUGCACCCGCAGCGGCCCUGGAGCCGUGACACGGGCACGCCUGGAGGAAGAGCGUUCGCGAUGCCGAGAGCCAGCGCUUUCCUUCAACAGUGGGAAGCGGGAAGCGGGAAGCAGGAGGGACCGGCAGCGCGGGCGGGCGGGGGCUGCGGAUGGACAGCGGUGGCCUGGAAGGUGGUCUCCAGCUGCCUCACCCCGUCAGAGGGAACCCCCCCCCCGGAUACUAGAGACGCCCCACACAGGACGCACUGGAAUGCUCCACGGGCAGAGCCUGGCUCUUGGCGCGUGUGUGACCCCCACCCAGCAAAGUCCCCUGUGCCAGGACGCACCGGGCUGCGGAGGGGAGGGGAAUGGAGUCAGACGUGAGGCCCAGGUGGCUGGACUGGGAAGUCCCGGUGCAAGUCCCAGCCCCGCCACCUCCUUGCUGGUUGACCUUGAUCUUGGGCAAUGACUUCACGUCUCCGGGCCUCGGCUUACCGUGGAGUGAGGAUGGGAUGGGGUGGUGGUCACUCUUCGCUCCUUCUGGAAGCCGCGGCUUUGUAGACAGGGACAUUGGGGAUGAGAGGUCAGAGGGUGCUCUGUCAGCCACCGGGAGAACAGAGGGGCAUUGGCGGGAUCCUGGGGCGCCUCGAGGUGCACACGCCCAGGUGUGCUAGAUAAGCCCGUCUUCCUCCUCUUUUAAAAAAUCUAGUUUGUUUCCAGCUUCCUAUUGAUUUAGGGUAAAAAAGUCCACCUUGGUUAUUCUGCGGGAUUUUUUCUCCUAUUAAGAUGAUGAUGAUGAUGAUGAUGAUGAUGAUGAUGAUGAUGAUGAUAGUGGGUUUGGAACCCAGGCCUCGUGCAUGCUCAGCGCACGGCUCUGAGCUACAUCCCUGACUCCUUCCCCCCACAGCACUUGGUGAUCUUGGAACUUGGAGACCACAGAAAUGUCCACUUUACUCACGUGGCCCCGGUGGCCCUUCAGGGGCUUCUCAGCAUUUCUUUUUGCCUCCUGGGACAUGGGCCAGGUUGGGCCCUUGUUUAGGGCACGUCUUUGUGGGUGUACCUUGCAAUCACCCCUUCCAGGGGGCUGCCUCAGAGUCCUGGUCCCAUUUUAUCUCAGCACGUGUGGACGGCUGAUCCCCCUACUUCACAUCACGUGGCUCUGGAAGCUCACCCACAGUUUCCCAGCCAUUUGUUCCAUGUCUUUCUUGAGAUUCUGGAAAAAACAAAAAACAAAAAAAACCACCUAUGUUCUAUGUGGGCAAAAGGGGAAAUUAAAAGAAGGGGUGGGGACUCCAUAAAUCACUAUUUGAAAUACAGUAAUAGACUGGAGGAACUUUGGAGUCUUAUUCAAGCUACUGGUUGAUAGUUAGGAAGCUGAGCUCCUGCAAACAAACCCUUGGAAACCCAGGACUAGUUCCCUGGCCUGGAGCCUCUCAGGCUGUCCGUCUCUGGGCUGUUCUAGGCUGCCGUGGGAAAUCACGUGCCUGAUAGAUGAUCCCCAAAUGUAUAGCUUGAAGUGACACUUAGGAUCUCACCGUGUUAUUGGUUUGGAUGUGAGGUGUCCCCCCAGAGUUCACGAGUGAGACACUGAGAGAAGGUCUGGAGGAGAAAUGAUUGGGUCGUGGCUUCACCUACUCAGCAGAUUAGUCCCUGAUGGCAUUGAUGGAGUGGCACCUGGAAGUGGUGGGCUGAGGCUGGAGGAAGGGGUUCAUGGGGGGCGUGGCUGUGGGGUGUAUAUUUUGUAUCUGGAGCGUGGAGACCCUUUCUGCUUCCUGAUCACCAUGUAGUGGCUUCCCUCUGCCACACUCUUCCGCGGUGAUGUCCUGCCUCCCCUUGAGCCCCGAGGAAUGGAGCCGGCCUUCCGUGGACUGAGACCUCUGAAACCAUGAACUCUCAAAUCCACGCUUCCUCCUCUACAAUCGUUGUGGUCAGGUCUUUUAGUCCAGCACUGAGAAGCUGGCUGACAGGCAAGUUUCUGUAGACUGGGUAUCGGGCACCACCCCCUGGAUUCCUGCCCUAGGACCCUUCCAGCCCCCACCUGUGGGGGCUGCCGUCAUCCGAAUGCUGGUCUAAGGCUGUGGGCAAGUUCUCAGGACCUCCCCUGGGGACGGUCACCCCAUCCCAGUUGCCUAGUUUAUUCUUCAGGAGCAAAGUCACCAGGCACAACCUGGAGAGAGGAUGGGGAGGUGAAGGCCAGGAGGCGGCUCAUGGGGCCAUUUUGGAAGUGACCAACCUCCAUUACCAUAAAGAGCCAACUGUCAUCUGUUCUCCAAACUUAAUAACGUCCUUGGACAACGGCUCAAAUGAAGAUUCCUGGACUCUCCUCCCAGGGCUUCUGUUAGAUUCGAGUCUCCAGUUUGCAAGAGGAAAGCCGCCCAGUGUGGGGAGGGCAGAGCAGGAGGGACAAUGGACUUUUCUUUGCUCAUUUCCUGUCGGUAUUUUGACAAAGCAGAGAUGAAGACAUGUCCUCUCUCCUAAUUCACCAGGAAGCUACGCGCUGCAACUGGGAGUGACUAUUCCUGUUCCAGGGACAAGGAUGGGGAUGUGGGUGUCAGCUGUGCCCCCAGAGCCCCACAUCUCUGGGGCGUUGGGAGUACAGUGGCUUCAGGGUGCUUGGCACUGGGACUGUGGAAUGGGCAGGUCUGAACCUGACUGCCCUGCUUCUCGCCUCCCUCUUCAGGACCUACAGACCGCGUGGCUCGGGAGGAAUAAGAGUAGAGAGAAGCAGGAAGCUCUUGGUGCUUGGAGGUCUUCGGAGAGAGCCGGGUGCAGGUCAGGAGCCAGCAAGGAUGGACGAGAUCAGGCUCAGUCAUUGGUCCUGCACGUCUGUUUACAUCCACAUUCUGGGUUCUCCCUCCAGUGCCAGGGAUGAAUGCCAACCAUCUGCCAGUGCCCCACCCCGUGGUGAACUGAGUAACAGUCCCCACCCUUCACCAAGAUGUCCAUGUCCUGAUCACUGGAACCUGGGACAGUGGGGGUGGGUCUGGUCUAAAGGGUUUGAGGUGACAAGCUUUGGUGGGGCUGAGGUCAUCCCAGCAGCCCUCCUGAGAUGGAGGCAGGAGAAACGCAUCCCUAGUUGAUGGAACCAAAGAGGUGGAGGGAUGCCAGGGGCUGGGCAGCUUCUGGGACUGUCCCCAGAAGGAGCCAGCCCCCCCACACCUUGACUUUAGCCUGGACACUGUUUUUGGACUUUGGAUCUCUAGAACCUUGUGCCAUAUAAAGUGACACAUGUCGAGCAGGGACACCUUAGGGGGCCACUAUCCUGCCUUCUGCAGCCAGAGACUUGGGUUCAAUCCUGGCUCUGGACCUGAUGGACUUGUGACUUUGCCAGAGUCCCCUCUCUCUGGGUCUCAGCUUCCUUCUGCCUGGACAAUUCAGAGUGUGUCAGGAGUGAGCAAGCGAGAGAGAGCUGGUGCAUCUUCAGCAGGAGAACAGAUUUUCUCAUCCUACACUCAGAUGUGCAGAAAAAUAUGUGGCUUGUUUUUUUUCUUACAACUGAUUUUUGGCCUUCCUCAGGAUGAAUUUCCAUCCCUGGGGAAUCGGAAGAGAGAAACGAAAAUUAGCCCCAGUGUUCCUGAGGACGGUCCAGAUGAGGCUUCAGAAAGGAACCCCCGACCCGCAAGACGUCAGGGGCUUCACUCCACAAAAGGGCCGCUUCUCACUUAGGCCAAUAGGGCUCAGGUCAGGACGAACCUCUCCCUUUUUGGAACCCAUGAGUGGCAGGUCUCUGUGGCAGAGAAGAUGGUGGGGAGACAGGCCAGCCCGUAUCUGCUCAGCCUGCAAGUCCAAGGCCAGUUCUGCUCACAGUUCAUUGGUUAGAACCAGUCGCACUGAGAUGGGUGGGCUCCCGGAGAAAGAAGGCCAGAUCUACAGGCACGAGUAACCCAUCUCGCUUGUUCCUUUAGAUGGAAUGAAGAAACCCCACAGUGUGCUGGCACCAGAUCAACUGGAACAAAAACCAUAAUUAAUUUAAACAUCACCGUAUUCCAAGGCUCACCCAAUGUGUCCACUAAUGAUUUAUGGGUAGGAUGGUCGACCCAAGGGGAGCAUUCCCAAGGAUUGUCAGGAGACUUGAUUUCCCAAGAGGCUUGCCUGAGGACCCGCACAUUUCUUCCCAGGAAAAUCACAUAGAAAGUCGUGAACUUGACCCUGGGCCUAUCAUUUGUCUUCUCCCCUAGUCCGCCUCUGGGCUGUCUGGCUAUUGCUUGUGCCUUAUUUUUGACGCAUCUGGAAAUUCUUUUCACUAUCAGAAGUGAAGAACCCUCAUGGGCGGAGGUGACGUCUCAGUCUGCUCUUUGGCAGGGCCUCUUGGGACCCUUGUCCCAGGACCACAUGAUCCACCAGGUGACUGGAAGGCAGGCUGAGGAGACAUGGCUGACUUCCUGUCUGCCCAGGAAGAGGAAACGGGGUGGGGAGAAGGCGGAGAUGCUGCCCGGUUUCUGGUCUAAAACACAGGUUAAGUGUUUCCUUGAAAUAAGUUCUCUGGGCUUCCUUCUGACUUUGAGUUUUUAGUCAUCUAUUUUCCUCUCUCUGGAUGUGUGUGGGAGGGGUGCACUUUUAUAGAUGACUCCCAUUUUCUUCCCUCUUUUGAAUGUAUACUUAAAAAAUAAAAAAGAGCUCCAAUUAGCAGAGAAGGAGUGCUGUGGAGUCUUCCCUUGGAAUGGAAACCCCGCCUCAAAUGGAGAUUCUCAGUUGGCUUCCGAGGGGAAGAAAUAUUUCUAAAAAACUUCUAGCCUUGGGGGGAAAAAAACCAGAAUAAAUAUGUUGCUUA